UGCUUAAGGUCACUCUCUGAUAUGUGCAGCCAACACUUAUUUUUGGUUUUUAAGGUUUGUUAUUCAUUUAGGGUCCAAGUAAGUUUUAGGCUUAGGUUUUCUAAAGCCCUCUCACAACUGAAAACCUUUACCCCUCUGUUUCCAUUCACACAAAACUCCCUGCCCAUUUAGUUUAUUUUCCCCUUGCUUUAAAAUAACACACUCAACACCAAGCACACAAACACAUACAAAAACGCACAGAAAGGGACAAAAGAACAGCAGCUCUACGCAAACAGCCACCAACCAAACGAUUUUUUUUUUCCUUUUGCUGCUGCCUCAUUUUCGCUCCAGCUUUAUGUGAUUUACAAGUGAUUAGGAAAGAAAUCAAGUGAAAACAAGUCAAAAGAGGUCAAAUUGAAGAAAACGAAAAAAAUGGUUAAAAGUGCAAAAACGGCCAGAUCUGCAAAAUUGGAAAAUUAGGGGCUGUUUUUGUCAUUUCUUGAUUUGAGAAGAUUGGGAAUCCAUAAAAGCAAGACUUGGGGGAAAAUAUUUCAUCUUUGGCCAUUUUCACAAGACUUUUGGAAGGUAGGGUUCUUCAACCAACACUUUGGAAGAGAAGAUUGGAGCAUUUUAAUGAGCAAACUCUUAACCCUUUCUUCAAUUCUUUGUUAUGUAUUGACUAUUUAAGUGUGUUGUACUUUAUUCUCUCAUUUGUAUCUUGUUUAUAAAAAUAUUCAUUAUCAAUUGUUGAAUUAAAUCUCUUGUUUUGCUUAUGUACUGAACAAUUUUUAUUUCUAAUGAUGUGGGUUAAUGCUUUUCUAUUUA